AUGAAAUGUCAACUUUCUAAUGCCUAAAUGUCCAGUUUCUCUACUUAGCGGGGCCAUACGUCUUUGAACUCUAUUAUAUGCACUACGCUCAGGACUAUUGAUCGCAAGUUUGAUAAAUCUUUCCAAGUCUGCAGCAUACGUUUUGGCUGCCAAUUGACAGAACAGUAGCCGCCAAACUUGAAAAUGUGAAUGCGAGUUAUACUGCUAAGCGUUACGUAACAUAACUCCUAAGCUCCUCCCCCCCCAUUUCACACUUCGCCACAAAUUUCCAACCUCGUUAUGCAAUAUGUGCACGAUCUCUAUUGUCCAAAUUCAUCUCUCAACAUACGUGAAUAUAACAGAAAAAAAUUAAAAACUUUAGAGCACCGUAAUAACGAAUUCUCAAUAAAUUAUUUUAUUUAAUGUGA